CAAAUAUGCCAUAUGAAUGUAUCCAUAACUGAGUUAAAAAUAGGUAUGCUAAACUAACACUGUUAGGGGGUUUAGCAUACCUAUUUUUGGGUUAUGGAUACAUUCAUAGGGCAUAUUUG
rnacentral:miRNA from 1 species